UAGGGAGACCUAUUUACUCUUAGACUGAACCAAUACAGAAUUAAGUCAAGAGUAAGUCAUCCCAAGGUCGUUCGAGAUUUAUUGGAAAGCUUUCAAACUAAGUCAGGUUCUAAAUUUGGCUAACAUAAAGGGCCAUUAGCUCAGUUGGUUAGAGCGCACCCCUGAUAAGGGUGAGGUCACUGGUUCGUGUCCAGUAUGGCCCACUUGGGAAGCUAGUAACUAGAAGCCAAAAGCUGAAAGUAAUAGUCAACUCUGGGGAUAUAGCUCAGUUGGUAGAGCGCCUGCUUUGCACGCAGGAAGUCAGGAGUUCGAAUCUCCUUAUCUCCACCAAACUACUAACAAAGACCAACAAAAGCAAAAGCAAGAGUUUAGCAACUCAUCUAGUCAGGUAAAACCUAAACAACUAGAGAGACUGCUAAAUUCUAGCGAAAGCGAGAAUUUAGAAAGAACCUUGAAAACUGCAUAGUAAUAGUAAUAAGAAGCAAGUAGAUCCAAAG
rnacentral:tRNA from 1 species